GGGGCAUUAGCGCAGUUGGGAGCGCGCUACAUUCGCAUUGUAGAGGUCGUGAGUNNGUUCGAAUCUCAUAUGCUCCA
rnacentral:tRNA from 1 species